AGCGAACGCUGGCGGCAGGCUUAACACAUGCAAGUCGAGCGGACCUUUCGGGGUCAGCGGCGGACGGGUGAGGAACGCGUGGGAACGUGCCUUCCGGUUCGGAAUAACCCUGGGAAACUAGGACUAAUACCGGAAACGCGGUCUAGGGGCAAGGAUUACGGCCGGAAGAUUGGCUCGCGGCUGAUAGGCUAGUUGGUGGGGUAAGGGCAUACCAAGGCGACGAUCAGUAGCUGGUCUGAGAGGAUGAUCAGCGACACUGGGACUGAGACACGGCGCAGACUCCUACGGGAGGCAGCGGUGGUGAAUAUUGGACAAUGGGCGCAAGCCUGAUACAGACAUGCCGCGUGAGUGAUGAAGGCCUUAGGGUUGUAAAGCGCGUUUAUCCGGGACGAUAAUGACGGUACCGGAGGAAUAAGCCCCGGCUAACUUCGUG
rnacentral:rRNA from 1 species